rnacentral:rRNA from 1 species
AUGGGGUGCANCAGGCGCGAAACCUCCACAAUGCGCGAAAGCGUGAUGGGGUUAUCCCGAGUGCCGUCCGAUGAGGAUGGCUUUUCAUCGGUGUAAGGAUCCGAUGGAAUAAAGGGGGGGCAAGACUGGUGUCAGCCGCCGCGGUAAUACCAGCCCCCUGAGUGGUAAGGACGAUUAUUUGGCCUAAAGCGUCCGUAGCCGGCUUAUCAAGUCUUUUGUUAAAUCCAACGAUUCAAUCGUUGGGCCGCAAAAGAUACUGUUAUGCUAGAGGACGGGAGAGGUCGACGGUAGUCCAGGGGUAGGGGUGAAAUCCUAUAAUCCUUGGAGGACCACCAGUGGCGAAGGCGGUCGACUAGAACGUGCCUGACGGUGAGGGACGAAAGCUGGGGGAGCGAACCGGAUUAGAUACCCGGGUAGUCCCAGCUGUAAACGAUGCGGGCUAGGUGUUGGGGUAGCCACGAGCUGCCCCAGUGCCGCAGAGAAGUUAUUAAGCCCGCCGCCUGGGGAGUACGGCCGCAAGGCUGAAACUUAAAGGAAUUGGCGGGGGAGCAC